UUGACGGGACCCGCACAAGCGGUGGAUGAUGUGGUUUAAUUCGAUGCAACGCGAAAACCUUACCCACCUUUGACAUGGCAGGAAUCCUAAAGAGAUUUGGGAGUGCUCGAAAGAGAACCUGCACACAGGUGCUGCAUGGCUGUCGUCAGCUCGUGUCGUGAGAUGUUGGGUUAAGUCCCGCAACGAGCGCAACCCUUGCCAUUAGUUGCUACGAAAGGGCACUCUAAUGGGACUGCCGGUGACAAACCGGAGGAAGGUGGGGAUGACGUCAAGUCCUCAUGGCCCUUAUAGGUGGGGCUACACACGUCAUACAAUGGAUGGUACAAAGGGUCGCCAACCCGCGAGGGGGAGCCAAUCCCAUAAAGCCAUUCGUAGUCCGGAUCGCAGUCUGCAACUCGACUGCGUGAAGUCGGAAUCGCUAGUAAUCGUGGAUCAGAAUGUCACGGUGAAUACGUUCCCGGGUCUU
rnacentral:rRNA from 1 species